rnacentral:rRNA from 1 species
UACGAAGGGGGCGAGCGUUGUUCGGAAUUACUGGGCGUAAAGGGCGCGUAGGCGGCGACUCUAGUCAGAUGUGAAAGUCCUGGGCUUAACCUGGGGACUGCAUUUGAUACUGGGUUGCUUGAAUUCGGGAGAGGAUAGCGGAAUUCCCAGUGUAGAGGUGAAAUUCGUAGAUAUUGGGAAGAACACCAGUGGCGAAGGCGGCUCACUGGCCCGGUACUGACGCUGAGGUGCGAAAGCGUGGGGAGCAAACAGG